rnacentral:rRNA from 1 species
GACGUAGGGCGCGAGCGUUGUCCGGAUUUAUUGGGCGUAAAGAGCUCGUAGGCGGCUUGUCGCGUCGACUGUGAAAACCCGUGGCUCAACCAUGUGGUCUGCAGUCGAUACGGGCAGGCUAGAAUUCGGUAGGGGAGACUGGAAUUCCUGGUGUAGCGGUGAAAUGCGCAGAUAUCAGGAGGAACACCGGUGGCGAAGGCGGGUCUCUGGGCCGAUAUUGACGCUGAGACGCGAAAGCGUGGGGAGCGAACAGG